AUUGAACGCUGGCGGCAGGCCUAACACAUGCAAGUCGAACGGUAACAGGAAGAAGCUUGCUUCUUUGCUGACGAGUGGCGGACGGGUGAGUAAUGUCUGGGAAACUGCCUGAUGGAGGGGGAUAACUACUGGAAACGGUAGCUAAUACCGCAUAACGUCGCAAGACCAAAGAGGGGGACCUUCGGGCCUCUUGCCAUCGGAUGUGCCCAGAUGGGAUUAGCUAGUAGGUGGGGUAACGGCUCACCUAGGCGACGAUCCCUAGCUGGUCUGAGAGGAUGACCGGCCACACUGGAACUGGGACACGGUCCAGACUCCUACGGGAGGCAGCAGUGGGGAAUAUUGCACAAUGGGCGCAAGCCUGAUGCAGCCAUGCCGCGUGUAUGAAGAAGGCCUUCGGGUUGUAAAGUACUUUCAGCGGGGAGGAAGGGAGUAAAGUUAAUACCUUUGCUCAUUGACGUUACCCGCAGAAGAAGCACCGGCUAACUCCGUG
rnacentral:rRNA from 1 species